AAGGGUAUUAUUGAUUUAAGAGAGAGAAAUGCGAAAUAAAUUGACCAUAACCCACACAACUACUUUUCUUCUAGAAGGACAUGUUCAUGAAUCAUGACUACUACCCUACAAUUUCUUCUUCUUUGAAGAAACCAUUCGAUUUCCAUGGCAAUGGCUCUCAACGCUGCUAUCUACAUCGCUAAGAUGACUUGGUUAGCUCUCGCUGGUUGGAUCACUUCUUGCUUAACUGUUGCUGAUGAAUUUGCUUCUUCUCUCCGUUCUGGUGAUAUUGGUCCCUUCCAAGUUGGUUGACUCUAUUUUACUUUUUUCUAAGAUGGUGAUUCCACCAUUGAGCAUUGGGUUGAUGGGCUAUUGGGAUGAUUCUUUAGAUGAAUAUUGAUAAUGUAACAUGACACGAAUGUCUGUGUGUUGACGUGUCGGUGUGUCGUAUCCGGUGUUGACGUGUCGGUGGUUCACGGGGUAAGGGGGAAAAGGGGAUGAAGUGAUAAACUGAAAUUUGAUGGAUGGCAUGAUGUAUUAUUAACUGUGAAACUAUGGAAAAACAUUGAAUCCAUUUUGAUUUUACAGAUGCUUAGAAAAUCCAAGGUAUGCAAUUGUCCUACAGAAUCUAUUGUUACAUCUGCUCAUUUCAUAGAUGCUUAAUGUUUGAUCAGUUUGAUUACUGGCUGGACAUGUUUGAUCAGCUGUCAUUGAGCUGGAACAUGGGAUGGUCCAAUUUAGAAUUUUAUUAUCCAAUAAUAAGAGGAUAUUAAAAACAAAUAUUCUAGUAACAUUUAUCUGUUUGAUUUUGGUAGGUAUGAGUUAUUUUCUCUGUAAAUUAAUGUUUUAUUUUGCUUAAAGACUGGGAUUCAAGUUUACAUUCAAUUCCAUAUUUUUGUAUCAAAAGAAAUUUGGUAUAGGUUUGAUUUACGA